UGUAAACCAAAGAGAAUUCCUUACAACAACUUUGUAUGAGCUCACUUCCCAUCCCUCUUUUUUGCCUUUAAAAACUUGCUUGUAACAAAGGCUGGGCGGAGCUCACAUUCAACGUUUCUUGGGUCUAAAUCUUCCGGGCAGCUGUCUACACUUUGGCUCAGAGGCUAAUCUUUUAGGCAACCUUGUCUCCAAACCUGGAGAAUAUGAAGAAGCUGGCUCUAAAUAUGAGUAAGAUCCUUGGCCUUCUCCACAGAAGUGAAAGAGAGAGGCAUCCAGACGAGUGACUAUCCUACAAUUGUCUAUCAUAGAAGUGUGCCAUGUAAAAGGGAAAGAUGAAGUUCUGUAGAGGAAACUGAGGCAAGUAAAGUCCAGGAGGGCAGAAACUUGAUGUUUUUUCAUUGUGGAAUUCCCCCCUCCUGGAACAGAUUCAUAGAGCACAUGGGAAACAUCUCUCUAAAAAAUGGAUGAAGCAAGCGGCAUUUGACUUGACUCUGAACAGAUGAGCAGUGCUCCAGGCGGGGCUAGCACGUGCAAAGACACAGCAGGAUCAAGACCUUUGUAUGAACUGUAUGCGAACACUUUGGGCCCAAUGUGGUGGCUCAUGCCUGUAACUCAGCGACUUGGGAGGCUGAGGCAGGACGAUCGCUUGAGGCCAGGAGUUCAAGACAGACCUGCCUGGGCAACAUAGUGAGACCUGCACCCUUCCAUCUCUAAAAAAAAAAAAAAAUUAAUUCCGCUCCUAAAAAACAUUUUGGGAUGUUUAAUGUGGUUCCCCCAUCCCUUUCACCCCUUUACACAAACAUAUGCUGGGAGAAAAAAACUGUGUUUAAAAUGCCAUCUCUGGUGGUAGUAUGGACUAGAGAAAUGAGUCCU
rnacentral:lncRNA from 1 species